rnacentral:sRNA from 1 species
GGAGAAGGGGUGGGGCAGGGUAUCGCUGACUCAGCAGCUUCCAGGUUGCUCCGAUGAUAUAUUAAGGCUCCUGAAUCCUAAGAGAAUGUUGGUGAAGAUCUUAACACCACGCCUUGAGCAAGUCGCAAGAGCGGGAGGACACAGACCAGGAACCGAGAAGGGACAAGCACACGGAAGCCAGCCCAGCAUCCGGGCCCAGACACUUGAUGGACCCACACAUAUUCACUUCCAACUUUAACAACGGCAUUGGAAGGCGUAAGACCUACCUGUGCUACGAAGUGGAGCGCCUGGACAAUGGCACCUCGGUCAAGAUGGACCAGCACAGGGGCUUUCUACACAACCAG